rnacentral:rRNA from 1 species
UACAGAGGUCUCAAGCGUUGUUCGGAAUUACUGGGCGUAAAGGGCUCGUAGGUGGCCAACUAAGUCAUACGUGAAAUCCCUCGGCUUAACCGGGGAACUGCGUCUGAUACUGGAUGGCUUGAGUUUGGGAGAGGGACGCGGAAUUCCAGGUGUAGCGGUGAAAUGCGUAGAUAUCUGGAGGAACACCGGUGGCGAAGGCGGCGUCCUGGACCAACACUGACACUGAUGAGCGAAAGCCAGGGGAGCAAACGGG